GCCAGUGUGGUGUAGUGGUUUGAAUGUUCAAUGUAACUGUGGAGGCCAAGGUUCAAAUCCCUGUUCAGCCA